rnacentral:rRNA from 1 species
ACUACGGGUGGCAGCAGUGGGGAAUAUUGGGCAAUGGGCGCAAGCCUGACCCAGCAACGCCGCGUGAAGGAAGAAGGCUUUCGGGUUGUAAACUUCUUUUGACAGGGAAGAGUAGAAGACGGUACCUGUCGAAUAAGCCACGGCUAACUACGUGCCAGCAGCCGCGGUAAUAGGGAGGUGGCAGGCGUUGUCCGGAUUUAAUGGGUGUAAAGGGCGUGUAGCCGGGUUGACAAGUCAGAUGUGAAAUCCUGCGGCUUAACCGCAGAACUGCAUUUGAAACUGUUGAUCUGGAGUACGGGAGAGGCAGACGGAAUGCGUGGUGUAGCGGUGAAAUCCGUAGAUAUCUGGAGGAACAUCAGUGGCGAAGGCGACUAUCUGGCACAUAACUGACGCUGAGGAGCGAAAGCGUGGGUAGCAAACAGGAUUAGAUACCCUGGUAGUC